rnacentral:lncRNA from 1 species
UAUAUAUUCUCUAAUUACAGAUCAGACACGAGAGCAUCCAGCAGUUUGAGCAGCAGGCAGGAAAGCCUAAGAGAUGCCUUAUACACACCCCAGAAAGAGCUCAUCACAGAAGAAGCCAAGUAUCACUCUCUGGCAGAUACAGCCCAUAAAUUAAAGAUGCAAAAUGGAGAGAUGACAAAAGAGGAUGGAUAGAUUGCUUCAGCCCAGACUACUCCACAUGGCACACUCCAUUCUCUUCCUAAGCAAAAGCUCAGAUGCUAGUUUACUUUUGGCCUAGAUGUCAGCAGCAUGGAUUCUGGAAGUGGAUAUAGGCACAGAAAUGAAGCCUUUUGGGACCAAGAACCCUGCAAAAAUCUGAUUCAGAGUACCCAGCACUGGGAUUUUGUAAGUGUUCUGCUAAUAGAGAAUCUUAUAUUGAAAGAAGAUGCUAAGAAUCAAAAGACCUGGAUUCUGGUCCUGACUGAUCCUUACUAGGUGUGUGACUUUGGAAAAACAACUGACUUGGGACAGUCAUGUUCUCCAAACCUUAGUGUCCUCAUCAGAAAAAUGGAGCUUAGAAGACUCACUUUGCUUCUGUUUCAAGCCUUCUGAAAGGAUCAGAUGGAUACCAAAUGUAUGCUAAACCACUUUGAGAGCAGAAACAUUCCAUUUAAAUGUGAAAGAAAGCAUUUUGAUGAUAAUAAUGGGACAUCCAGGGACUCAGCUGAUACAUGAAUGAAAAGACCUGCCUUCCAUUCAGAUUAUGGUGUCAUAGAUGUACAUCUGGAAACCAAGUCAGAAAUAUGCUAAGGCUUGAGUUUUGCUAAAGAUUCCUGCCCUUGACUCCAACAUCAAUACUCCAUCUGGGGAACUUUAGGAACAACUUGGAAUACAGUGUCUGAAUCCCAUUUUGGUGCUGUGAGAUUAUAUAGGAACAUAGAAGUAGAGUUGGAAGAGCCUGACAAAAUUGUCUAGUUUAACUCCUUUGUUUUAUAGGAAUAGGAGGUGAUGCUCAGGAAGACUGUGUGAUUGGUCAGCAGUCACACAAGUAGGAAGUUUCAGGUAUAUGGGACUUGAAUCCACUUCCUGAGACCCAGCUUGCUAGCUCAGUUAAGUGCCCCUGGUGCU